rnacentral:rRNA from 1 species
UACGUAGGGUGCAAGCGUUAUCCGGAAUUAUUGGGCGUAAAGAGCUCGUAGGCGGUUUGUCGCGUCUGCUGUGAAAACUGGAGGCUCAACCUCCAGCCUGCAGUGGGUACGGGCAGACUAGAGUGCGGUAGGGGAGAUUGGAAUUCCUGGUGUAGCGGUGGAAUGCGCAGAUAUCAGGAGGAACACCGAUGGCGAAGGCAGAUCUCUGGGCCGUAACUGACGCUGAGGAGCGAAAGCAUGGGAAGCGAACAGG